ACUACGGGAGGCAGCAGUGAGGAAUAUUGGUCAAUGGCCGGAAGGCUGAACCAGCCAUGCCGCGUGAAGGUCAGUGCCCUAUGGGCGUUAAACUUCUUUUGUGCGGGAGCAAUAAUGGUCACGUGUGGCCAGACGAGAGUACCGUACGCAUAAGCAUCGGCUAACUCCGUGCCAGCAGCCGCGGUAAUUCGGGGGAUGCAAGCGUUAUCCGGAUUUAUUGGGUUUAAAGGGUGCGUAGGCUGUGAGGGAAGGCAUGGGUGAAAUGCCCCGGCGCAACGGGGUGAAGUGCCAUUGAUACUGCCUUGCUGGAAUGCGGAUGCCGUGGGAGGAAUGUGUGGUGUAGCGGUGAAAUGCAUAGAUAUCACACAGAACACCGAUUGCGAAGGCAUCUCACGAAUCCGCGAUUGACGCUGAUGCACGAAAGCGUGGGUAUCAAACAGGAUUAGAUACCCCUGUAGUC
rnacentral:rRNA from 1 species